CCUACGGGAGGCAGCAGUGAGGAAUAUUGGUCAAUGGGCGAGAGCCUGAACCAGCCAAGUCGCGUGAAGGAUGACGGCUCUAUGGUUUGUAAACUUCUUUUAUAUGGGAAUAAAGUGAGGAACGUGUUCCUUUUUGUAUGUACCAUAUGAAUAAGCAUCGGCUAACUCCGUGCCAGCAGCCGCGGUAAUACGGAGGAUGCGAGCGUUAUCCGGAUUUAUUGGGUUUAAAGGGUGCGUAGGUGGUUAAUUAAGUCAGCGGUGAAAGUUUGUGGCUCAACCAUAAAAUUGCCGUUGAGACUGGUUGACUUGAGUAUAUUUGAGGUAGGCGGAAUGCGUGGUGUAGCGGUGAAAUGCAUAGAGAUCACGCAGAACUCCGAUUGCGAAGGCAGCUUACUAAACUAUAACUGACACUGAAGCACGAAAGCGUGGGGAGCAAACAGGAUUAGAUACCCGGGUAGUC
rnacentral:rRNA from 1 species